rnacentral:rRNA from 1 species
CCUACGGGGGGCUGCAGUAGGGAAUCUUCCACAAUGGACGAAAGUCUGAUGGAGCAACGCCGCGUGAGUGAAGAAGGUUUUAGGAUCGUAAAACUCUGUUGUUGGAGAAGAACAGGGACUAGAGUAACUGUUAGUCCUUUGACGGUAUCCAACCAGAAAGCCACGGCUAACUACGUGCCAGCAGCCGCGGUAAUACGUAGGUGGCAAGCGUUGUCCGGAUUUAUUGGGCGUAAAGCGAGCGCAGGCGGUUUUUUAAGUCUGAUGUGAAAGCCUUCGGCUUAACCGAAGAAGUGCAUUAGAAACUGGGAAACUUGAGUGCAGAAGAGGACAGUGGAACUCCAUGUGUAGCGGUGAAAUGCGUAGAUAUAUGGAAGAACACCAGUGGCGAAGGCGGCUGUCUGGUCUGUAACUGACGCUGAGGCUCGAAAGUAUGGGGAGCGAACAGGCUUAGAUACCCCGGUAGUC